UCUAUGAAAACUGAAGGCUAAUCUAGAAAUAUGACAGGGGAAAGAGUUUCUAAGGAUGUCUUUGGAAGAAAUUCUCUUUUGUUAUGCUGAAUUGUAAAGCAAGGAUUCUAUAUGGUCUUCUUUAUUCUCAAAAUUCUGAAAUAGGUUAGCGAGAGAAAAUGGCGGACGCGUACUCAUAUCUCGUUGCAAUAUUCCUCAUAGCGACUGUUGUUGUGAAUUUUAUCAUAAACGUAGUCGUAUUGGUUAUGAUGAGAAAGAGAAGACUAUAUGUCAUCGUGGCAAACAGACUUUUCCUUCAAUUUGUUCUGAUAGACUUCAUUGCCUGUUUCUUUGUGUUAAUCCCGGCAAGUGUCACAGCUAUUUUGGAGUCCUGGGCUUUCUCGGAUCCUGCGUGUCAUAUCCAUGGUGUUGUCUCCACCUUAGUAUACAUUGUGAUUUUUGGACUGCUCAUCGUUAGAUGUGUUGAGAGAAUUACAAAAAUCAAGAACCGUGAACUACAUAAAGCAGUUUUUUGUUCCAAUUGCCGACUUAAUGCUUGUUUCGUCAGUGGUAUGAUCAGCAGGAGUAGAUAUGUGGAGGGGAGCAUACAGUAUAUGUCUAAUACCAAUUGUGCUAACAUUUACUCUACGACCUUUAUUUAUCUAUUUCGACUUAGAAUGUCCAUAAAAGCAAAGGAAAAAAAUACACCUCGUCUUCCAAGUGAUAAAAAGAGAAUACUGGCUGUGUCAAGAAAAGGAAAGCGACGGACAUUACCGAAUGAUGAGAAAAAAGGAGAUCCCGGUGAGCCAAACUAUUCAUCUGACGAAUGGAGCGAGUAUGAUGAAGAAAAAGGUAAAACAUGUUGUUUCUUUCCAAAAUCAAAAAGAUAUGAUGAAAAGCAUGCCUCUCCUCCUCCUUAUGAAUCUGUCCCUAAGAAAGCUCAUCCAAAACCUUCUCCUCUAAAACGGAUAAAAGACAAAGCCAAAUCAGAUAAACUGCCUGGCGAUCCCGUGUUUAAAAAACCAAGUCUUCAUGACACAAAACCUAGUAACGACGAUGUAAAUGAUGAUGAAAUGUCGGAAUUUUACUUAGAUGGUAAUUCGUCUGAGAAUGAAUUUGGCAAAACUCCUAAGAAUCGAUUAUUUGAUAGGAAAAAUAAUAAUUCUAGUUCCAAAUCUCAGUUAAAAAAUCAAGAUGAUCCCAGUGGAACGAAAGAUGGUGAAAAGUUACAAAAUAGAAAAGAUUCAAACACCGAUUUGGAAAAAGUAGGAAAUGAUCCUGAUUCAUUUUUAUCUCCUCGCAUGAUAAACAUUCAAGAAAAACCAAAAAGGAAAUCAAAAAAGCAAACUGAUAAAACGGAUGAAGAAACCCUUAGUAGCGAAAACUCUGAAAAUGAUAGAAAAUUAAGAAGAAAACGAAGUCAUCGAAGAAAACCAAAAGGGCGACCAUCUGAUGAUGAAAGCGAUUCUUAUUAUUCAUAUAGCGAAGAUGAUAGACCAUCAAACAAAAGAGGAAAAACAAAAAUUAUUGUUAUCAAACAACGGGCAAAAUCAUCAGAUACGAAAAGAAACUCACCUAAAUCUAGAAAAAGCAAUAAAAUUGAACCAAAAGAGAGCAAGGAACCAACUGUUGAUGAAACCCUAAGAAAACAAAAUAAGUUAAACCCUUUCUUACGUCCAGGCGUAGAUAAAUCCGCCAAUAAUGAUAAAAUCAAGGGUGAGAAAACCCAUAAUUCAGACUCAAACGAUUCGGAGAGCAGUUAUGACUCUGAUAACAGUUCUGAGAGUGAUGGCAGGAAAAAGGCGAAAAACGAUAUCAACCCGGAUAUCGACGGAAACACCAUGAAUGAAAUGUUACAGAAAAAUAUUGAUUCUCAAAUUGUCCCCAUUGUUCAAAACAACUAUUAUUAUAUAGACCCAACUCGAAUGGGGAAUCCAGUCAAUCCGACUCAAAGAAGUAUGUCAGCUAGCAUGAAUGGACAACCGCAAAAUCAAAAAGGAAACAUGAAUCAACCAAAAGCAGAAUGGAAUAAAUCUGACGCAAACAACCAUCCAGUAUCCAUGACUCAUCCGACUGAAACGAAAAAUGCUUUACCCCGGACUUAUAACAAUGCCCCAGUAAAUGUGGAUAAUCUACCAGAAUCUAAAUCGUUGAAUCCGAUGAACGAAAAUGGAAACAUGAAAGAUGUUAAUGAAAAUCUCGGUAAUGGGGACCCACUAGAACCGUACAAAAGAAGAAAACUUGUUCCAAAUGGUUCAAAGGGUAAUGGUACUACUUUUGAGGAUGGUUCCUCGGACAAGAAAUUUAAUCCAUCAGAAACAAUGGGUCUGGGUGAUCCUAUCAUUCCACAUAAUCCAGACGAUCACUUUGAAUCAAAGCAAAACGGUUCAUCAGAUAUCCAUAAAAGCCCUGAUAAAACAAAUUACAAAGAACCAGAAAAUUUCCUUGACGUUAUGGGCCCUGGUGAAACAAUUGAACCAUACAAUGAUGGCAAAUACAAUCCAAGAAGUCAGAGAACUUUACCCAAAAACAUGAAGAACUUAAACGGAAAUAACACUCCAUCUGAAAAUCAGAUUAAUGACGAAGAUUUGACACCAAUGCAAGGCAACUUCAAUAAAAGCAAAGAUCUGACAAAUAUUCUAGGACCUGGAGAUCCGAUUAUUCCUCACGAAAAUAGUGAAGAAGAUGUAACAGAUUCUGAAACUGAUAUGAACUUCCCAGCCACUGGGUUGAAAAAUCAGAGAAAUCAGAACCCGGAGUAUAUUGUUAAUAACCCACCCUAUAAUGAUAUUGAUCCCCAUGAACAUCAUCCUUUAAGAGAAAACAGGAGCUAUCCAAAUUUUUCAAAUCCCUACGAUGAAAAUUACGUUCCACCACAGAAUCCUUACCCGUACAAUCCAAAUUUUAAUCCUAUUUACAUACCAAACACCACUGGUGGUCCAAAACAGCACCAGAAUUAUUAUGUAGCAAACGGAACACACAAGCAGACACAAUCCCGAAGAAUUUGCCAACUAUCCAGAUACUCAACAUCAGUACAAUCCAAAGGGUAUAAGACCACAUCUGAAUAGUGGUGAUAACUCUUUUCAAGAUCAAAAUCUUUCAAAUCAUAGAGAUAAUCAAAACAAUAGGAGUUAUCCUCAUGUAACAACAGGAAAAAGGGGAGUUGGACUUGACAAUGAUAAAAAUGGUGUUUAUCCUAAUAAAGGUCAAAAUCAUCCAAAUCCUAGAAAUAUUCCAUACGAUAGGAGUUAUCCCAAUAUAACAACAGGAAGCAUGGAAAGUGGACUUGGAAAUGCUAAUAAUGGUGAUUAUCCUAUUGAAGGUGAGACAUUUUCAAAUCAUAAUCCAAACAAUAGGAGUAAUCCUAAUAUAAAAAAGGGAACAAGGGAGGAGGACUUGACAAUGUCAAUAAUGUACCAAAUUACACAAGUAAACCUUUGCAGAAAAAAUCUCUGAAAGACCCAAAAUACUUUGAUCCAUAUACUUUGAAUGAAAAUGAAAAGACAC
rnacentral:sRNA from 1 species